UACGUAGGUGGCAAGCGUUGUCCGGAAUUAUUGGGCGUAAAGCGCGCGCAGGCGGUUUCUUAAGUCUGAUGUGAAAGCCCACGGCUCAACCGUGGAGGGUCAUUGGAAACUGGGGAACUUGAGUGCAGAAGAGAAGAGCGGAAUUCCACGUGUAGCGGUGAAAUGCGUAGAGAUGUGGAGGAACACCAGUGGCGAAGGCGGCUCUUUGGUCUGUAACUGACGCUGAGGCGCGAAAGCCAGGGGAGCGAAAGGG
rnacentral:rRNA from 1 species